UUUGCAUCUGACUAUCUGAAAUACUUACCAAAGAAUCAUCUACAUCUCAAAGCAAAUGCUUGGAGUACAACUUUUUUACAUCAGGCAAACUCAGCACCACUCCACAUUUCAGUUGUGACCCUUUUCCCCUCAGACUGGAUUGGCUGACCCCCUUUGACCAGCUGGCUUGGCCACAGUAAAUCCUAGAGACUGCUCAUGCUACAGGCCUUGGGAGUUGGUGUUGGAAACAGGCCAGGAAGUGCCACUCCAGAUUAGAAGUCAUCUGGUGCCUCGAACGGAGCUCUUUGAAAAGGAGGCUGCUGCAUCUUUGGAGAUAGUUCAAAUUUCCUCUUUGAUUAUUUUCCUUUCCCCUCCAAAAUGAAUCUUUAUUAAGCUUAAAUCCUGAAUAAAAUGAAAUUAGCAGACUGCAAAAUAUUGCUUUCUUUUCUGCCUCUAUUCCCCUGUGCACACAUGCAAAUUAUAAUGCUUAUUUAUGUAAAUGAGGUGUCGUCUUUAAUUAGUUUUGCUUGAGGGCAUUAAAAUACAUGUAUUCUUCCCCAAAAAA